rnacentral:rRNA from 1 species
AACGAACGCUGGCGGCGUGGAUAAGACAUGCAAGUCGAACGGGACAACAUCUGUAGCAAUACAGGUGUUGUUUAGUGGCGAACGGGUGCGUAACACGUGGGCAAUCUGCCGAGAAGUGGGGGAUAGCUCGCCGAAAGGCGAAUUAAUACCGCAUAUGAUCAGUGAAGACAUCUUCACGACAUCAAAGCCGGGGCAACCUGGCGCUUCUUGAUGAGCCCGCGGCCUAUCAGCUAGUUGGUGAGGUAACGGCUCACCAAGGCUAUGACGGGUAGCUGGUCUGAGAGGACGACCAGUCACACUGGAACUGAGACACGGUCCAGACACCUACGGGUGGCAGCAGUCGAGUAAUUUUCUCAAUGGGGCAACCCUGAAGGAGCGACGCCGCGUGGAGGAUGAA